GGAGUCGUGUCUGGACAGC
rnacentral:miRNA from 1 species